rnacentral:rRNA from 1 species
GACGAACGCUGGCGGCGUGCCUAAUACAUGCAAGUUGAGCGAUGAAGAUUGGUGCUUGCACCAAUUUGAAGAGCAGCGAACGGGUGAGUAACGCGUGGGGAAUCUGCCUUUGAGCGGGGGACAACAUUUGGAAACGAAUGCUAAUACCGCAUAACAACUUUAAACAUAAGUUUUAAGUUUGAAAGAUGCAAUUGCAUCACUCAAAGAUGAUCCCGCGUUGUAUUAGCUAGUUGGUGAGGUAAAGGCUCACCAAGGCGAUGAUACAUAGCCGACCUGAGAGGGAGAUCGGCCACAUUGGGAAUGAGACAAGGCCCAAACUUCUACGGGAGGCAGCAGUAGGGAAUCUUCGGCAAUGGAGGAAAGUCUGACCGAGCAAAGCCGCGUGAGUGAAGAAGGUUGUCGGAUCGGAAAACUCUGUUGGUAGAGAAGAACGUUGGUGAGAGUGGAAAGCUCAUCAAGUGACGGUAACUACCCAGAAAGGGACGGCUAACUACGUG